rnacentral:lncRNA from 1 species
AAUAUAGGCAUUAAUUUAAAUUUUAGGAAUUUUAGAAAUAGCAGUAAAUAUGUUGAAUUUAAAUAUUUAAUAUUUAAAUUUAAAAUUAAAUAAGAGAAAUUUUGUAUUACUAUUUUAACAAAUUUAAUGUUGAUAAUAAUGAAUUCAACAUAUUUAAUUUGUUUAAGAAAAUUUUAAAUUACUCUAGUUUAGAUAUUAAUUUUUUAUCACAAUCUUUAAAAAAAUUUGAAUGUAGGUAAAAAAAAUUAAAAUUCAACGUAUUUAAUAUAUUGUAAUAUUUUUUAAUAAAAUAUUUGCGGAUUACGGAUAUGAAAUGAUAAAAUAUCUUUGGGUUAUGGAUGUCAAUAGUUACGAAUAUCCAUAAUUUUAUCUGAAUCCGAAUCCAAAGCCGAAAGCAAACGUAGUAGAUUUACCUAUGCUUAAUGGAUAUAGUUUUGGAUGUGGAUAUAAAAAAUGAAAAUCCGAUGAAUUUAAAUUCGGAUGCGGAUUUUGAUUAUAUCUGAUCCGAACCUAAAACCGACCGAAACCAAAAUUUAUUUUACAUUAUAUAUAAUAUAUAUAAAUGUUUGAUGUUAUAGCUGAAUAUGUAUUUUUAAAAUUUAGAUUUAAUUUAAUAUAUUUUAAAAUAUUGUAAAGAAAAAUAAAUGUUUCGAGUUCGGAUUUUCAGGUUCGGAUUAGGGUCGGGUUUUGGAUUUUUAGUCAGGUACGGGUAUAAAUAUGAUUUUCUAAAAUUCGUCGGAUUUGGGUUCAGGUUCGGGUUUCAGCCGAUUUGAUAGUCGAGUUUGUGUUUGGGUUCGAAUUUUUAAAAAUUUGCUCAGAAUCCUACCCUUUUAUAUCUGUACUGUAGAUGAAGAGGAAAGAUAGAGAGAGAAAAAGAAAACAAAAAGAGAAUAAAGAUUUGAUUUUUUUAUAGUGGAGAUAAAAUUACUAAAUUAUCCAUAUAUUAAAAGACCAAAAUAUCUUUUUUGGGGUAUCUGGUAAUCGGUAUCUCUCUCAAAGUGACUUGUUAUUGCGGGUCAUAAUUUUAAAAAAAAUUAAAUCCGAACUGUAGAAUAGAAAUGACUGAAUAAUAUCAAAAACUAACAAAUAUAGAAACAUUACUCAUAUAUAUAUAUAUAUNAGUCCGGCUACUAUACUCUUAGGAGUACGAUCGACUUCGUACCCAUAAGUUGUUUUCGAUGAUAGAGCUUCCGAAUCGACGAUCCAUACCGUUAAACAUUAUCUAGAGCAUUUAAAAUUUCUAGAAAUCAAAUUUUAUAAUUUUUUAAUAUCAUUUACCUUACGAUUAAAAGCUCACAAAAUUGACAAUUUUUAAUGGCCGGUAUGAGAUAUUUACUAGUUUAACGGUGAAAUAGAAUCGGCUGUAGUAUCCUUGGUAUUCUGCAGCCGUGAGAUUUCAGCAUCUGAGACUUGUCGACACAUCUGAAGAGUGUCAGGACAAGUCCGAGUCGUUUUGGCGUGAUAUAGACGCAAAACAGACUCAGUAUGACGCGAGAGCAGGAAUUUAGCACUAAAAUCUGCAAAUUGCAGGUUGUCAGCAUUGAAUACUGGUACUACACAUGGGAGUACCGGUAUCCCAGUCUAAUUUUUUGAUUUAUGCUCUCGGGUUGCGAAGGCUGAUGCGGGGUACGGGUACGGCAUCGGCCUGGUACCAGUAUUCCAGGGUAGGUGAGGAGCCUUUUGGUCUUUUGAUGCCUCGAUCAUUUCACCCUUAUCUCCCGCCGCCUAUAUAGUAUAGAGGAUUUGAGAGAGAGCUUUUGUUUACUCUUCCCUCUCUCUCUCUAGAUUGAAGCCGUGCGCUUGGUGGUGGUCGCGGUUGGAGCUCGGAUCGACGUCGACUUCACGCCGGGGAACCGUUUGAGCACGUGAGCGUCGUAGUUGCAUCGUUGGGAGGCCGAGUGAGCGCGUGGUUCCUCUUCUGUCGACUUUUUGCCGGAGUUGAAUUAGCAUUCGAGGUGGGUUGAAGUUUACCGAAUUCUUCGAAUUUCCUCCUAAGCCUAGUUUGUUGUCAGCAUGUAUUUUUGGCUUCGUAUAUUAUGUUUAGUAGCUCGAUUCGUCGAUUUGCAUUGUUCUUCAAUGAAAUCUGAAUUAGAGAUUUAGUUUAUUAUACAUAUUGGACUUGGAAUUGACUUAGGAGAAAACUAUAGGUUCUACACUGUCAUUUUCUUAAAACUAUCAGAUUUAGCUUUAGGAGCCGCAGUUUGUUUGUAUCGGCGCAGUUUGUAGGCGGUAGAUACCGAGAAUAGUGUAGAAUGAAUUUACGCUCGUGCUGGAAUACCGAGUUUAUUUUUACAGUAGUGUAUAGACUGUUCCGGACUGUCGAGUGCCGUCGCGGCUGACAGUGGACCCAGAUUUCUGUAUUUUGCAUAAAAUUGUGCCGAGGGCACGUGAGUUAUGGUUGUUAGACUAGUUAGACACUUCUGCUUUGACUAUAGUCUGUGAGAGCCUGAUUGAGCUCGGUAGAGAUACGCUUGCAUACUCGAUUGGGUAACGCCCACGAGUGCCACUCCGGAGUCGGACUUUGUGCUUUUGCGUUGUUGUCAUUAUGUCCUGGUUGGACUCGCUCUCCACUGACGACUAAGCAUGGUGGUAGUUAGUAUAACUUCGACAUGCGGGACAGGUGUGUUCACAGUCCCUAGUGAGAUUAGGUCAGAGUUUGUGUAGUGACCCUGGAAUUCAGCAUUUGAGGCUUGUCGACAGCUCUGGAUAGUGUCGGGAUGAGUCCAAGUCCUAUUAGCGCGAAAUAGAUGCAAACUGCACUCAGCGAGACACGAGAGCAGAGAGUUAGCAUUGCAAUCUGCAAAUUGCAGAAUUUCAGCAAUUGGUACCGGUACCACAUAGGGGCGUACCGGUACCCGGUGCAAUUUUCUGCGCAGACUGCUCUCGGGUUGCCCAUUCUGCUGCGCGGUACCGUUACAACAUUGGAUUGGUACCGGUACUCCAGGGUUGGUGAGGGGCUGAAUGGUCUUUUGACUGCCUCGUUGUCUUCACCCUCACCUACUCUCCUUAUAUACGUGUAGAGGAGCAAGGAUGGAGGGUUUUGCAGCUUCUUCUUCUCCUCUCUCUCUAGCUUGUGCCGUACGUGGUGGAGCUCUCCGGUGGAAUCGGAGCGACGUCGACGUUGUGCCGCGGAGCCGUUCGAGCGUGCGUUCGUCGUGGUAGCGUCGUGGGAAGGCCGAGCGAGCGUGUGGUUCCGCUUUUGUCAACUUCUCGCCGUUGUUGGACGCGCUUUCGAGGUGGGUCAAAGUGAUGCUUACGGAAUUUCGCGGAUUUUCCUCCUAAUUCUAUAUAUUGACAGCAUGUGUUUUUUUAGCUUCGUUUAGCAUAUUGUUUAGCUCAAUAUUUGGAUUUGCAUGUUAUUGAUCUUGAAUUGGAGCUUAAAAUACUAGCUAAAUUAUACAUGUUGGACUUGAUUUUUGACUUAGGAGAAAACUGGCGUUUCUACACUGUCAUAUGUUAAAACUACCAGAUUUAGCUCUAAGAGCCGUAGUUUGUUAGUAUCGCCGCAGUUUGUGGGCGGUGAAUAUCCAGAAUAGUGUAGAAUAUAUUUACGCUAGUGCUGAGGUAUCGAGUGUAUUUUUACAGCAGUAUUUAGGCUGUUCCGGAUUGUCGGUGUCGUUGAGGUUGACGGUGGACCCAGAUUGCUGUUUUUGCAUCAGAUUCUGCCGAAGGCACGUGAGUUCAGCUGUUAGACUCUGUUUACUUGACUAUAGCCUAUGAGAGCCUGAUUGAGCUUGACAGAGACAUCCUUGCAUACUCGGUUGGGUAGCACCCAUGAGUGCCACUCCAGAGUCGAGCUUUGUGCGUUUGCGUUGGUGUCGUUUUGUCCUAGUUGGACUUGCUCUCCACUGAUGACCUGGUUUGGUGUCAAUUAGUGUAGCUUCGACAGGCGAAUUGUUGUGUUAGAGCAUGAUAGUAUGGUGGCAUUUAGUUGUAGAUUUAUUCCAGCCUUCCUUACUAUCCCUACUUACUUCUGUAGACUUAGUGGGUGAGCCAUUGAGGUCGGUAGCGGUGCCCACUGAGGACUAUUUCUUUUUGCAGUAGUUCUCAUGCCUAGUUGUUGAAACCUUUUGCAGAGCCAUCUUCUUCAACUGCUGUUGCUGCUGAGUCUGAUCGUGGAAAGGGCGUGGCGAGUUAGAGCCCUUCCUGACGAGUUGCAGAGCUAGAGGAGUAUCAGCUAUAGAUAGUUGUAGUUUUUGGGUUAUGAUACAUACUAAUGCUUGUAUCUCGCUGGAGCGAGUAUUUUUUUGUUUACCUGAAUGUGACGUACGUAUAGUGAACCUCUGAUGUUAUAUAUGUUUUAUUUCGGCAGCUCUAUACUGCUGGUUGUAGUGUUGUAUGAUUACAGGUACACCUAUCGCUUCGUAUAUAGGAAAAGUUUUUUUUAUACGACGGAUUUGUCGGCGUGCCCGGGGAAACGAGUAAUCCGGGGCGUGACAGUUUGCAUUUUCUACAGAUAGUUAGUGUUGGUUAGCGAUAGUAUAAUAACAUAUAGUUGUAGAGUUUUUUCAGCUUCCUUUACUAUUCUUGAGCAUACCUUCUGUAGACUUAGUGGGUGAGCCGUUGAGGUCGGUAGCAGUUCCCACUGAGGACUACUUCUUUUUGCAAUAGUUCUCAUACCUAGUUGUUGACCCCUUUUUGCAGAGCCUCCUUCUUCGGCUGUUGCUGUUGCUGUUGCUGAUUCUGAUCGUGGAAAGGGAGUCGCGAGCUAGAUCCCUUCCAGUUUUGUUGCUGCUUAAAGGAGUACCAACUACAAGUAGUUUUGGAUUUUUGGGUCAUGUACAUGCUGAUGUUAGAUCCUCGCUGGAGCGAGUAUUUUGUAUCUGGAGACUAUGUAUGUAUUGUGAACCCGAUGCUUAUUUUUAUAUGUUACAGUUCUGUUAGCAGCUCUAUACUAUUAGUUGUAGUUUUGUAUGAUUAUAGGUACAGGUACAGCUAUCGCUUCGUAUAUAGGAAAAUUUUUUUUUAUACGGCGGAUUUGUCGGCGUGCCCGAGGAAACGAGUAAUCCGGGGCGUGACAUCGGAAUAGCUUGGAUUUUUGAUAGAAAUUUCUAUUCACUACCUAAAUAAAGAUCAAUAACUCCGAUCUUAAAUUGAAAGAUCCGAUCAUCUAUUUUUAGGAUGUCGUUCUAUACCCCCUUGAUAGACUUUAUAAUGAUUUCGAAAAAUUACGAAAUUUAUUUUCUAGAAGUUUCAAAUACUCUAAAUCAUGUUUAAUGGUGUGGAUCCUCGAUUUGAAGAGCCCAACAGCGAAAACAACUUAUGAGUACGAAGGGCUGUAUACUCAUAAGAGUAUAGUAGCCCUACUAUAUAUAUAUAUAUAUAUAUAUAUAUAUAUAUAUAUAUAUAUAUAUAUAUAUAUAUAUAUAUAUAACUAGGCUGGAANUUUUUUGAAAAAAUAAUUAGCAAAGUACACAUUUUCAAAAUAAAAAGUAUUAGUACAAAUUAGUAAAGAUUUUUUUUUAGAGAAAAUAUAAUAGCAUUCUGUUACUGUUCACUUCGUUUAUCUUUUUAAAGAGAAUAAACUCAUUUAGAACUAUUUAUUUAGUGUUUAAUUUGAGUGCACUUCGAUGUGACACGCACCGCAAGACCAAAUUAUCUCCACGUGCUUGUUUGACUAUGUGGGCUAAUGCUAGAAACGAAAGAUGCAAACAAAUUUAAUUUGGUUGAGCUAUGAAAAGCACUUGUUACUAUCAAUUAGGUUGGUGAACUUCCCAAUGAAUUGAGGUCUAAAUAAUGUAGACAUAAUAUAUAUAUAUAUAUAUGUUUUAUUAGAUCGAGUAUCUAUAUAGUGUUCUAGGGAGUCAAAAUCUAGUUUACUAGCUCAUUCAUUGGCUUCCAUGCUAUAUAUAUAGGUUUCCAUGGUUUCUUAGCAUCAAAGAAGAGAAAAAAAUAAAAAGGAGGGAUCUAAUUAUGCACUAAUAAUAUAGAUCUAAUCAUAUUCAUUUUUGAAAAAAAAAAAACUUAUAUAUAUAUAUAUACCACAUAUAUAUUUUUAAGAACACAAUUCUACUGUUUGAAGUGCAGAAAUUUACAAUAUGCAGAAUUAUAAAAUACAAAAAUUAUAUCUAUACUUCCUAUGAGUAAUUAUUUUUUGGUGUUUUCUUACCGUGAUUCUAUUAAAUUAGAAUGUUUGUUCAAAUAGGAAAAGAUUUUUAAUACCUAAGGCAAUGUUUUUUUAUUGUGUUUUAUUUUUUUUAUCUUUUUAAAUAAAGUUUUGUAUAUCAAAAGAUAUAGAAGUGAACAGUGUAUUGCUUGCAAUGCUUUUAUCCAAAAUAUUUACUUAACAAUAAAAAAUUAAAUCUUAAAAAUAAUUUUUUUUUCUUUCAUUUUUUUUUAAAAAAUUGUCAUUCAUUACUGGACUGGAUACAUUGUAAGCUAACUCACUAUAGAAAUAAAAAAAAAAAAGUUUUUUCUUCCAAUACAUCAAAUUAUAUAUAUAUAUAUAUAUAUAUAUAUAAUGUUAAAAAAUAUAAAAAUGAUAAUGAUACCAAACAAGUCCUGAGUUUUAUAUUUUUAUAUUUUUGAUUCUCUUAUUUUACAUUUCUUAAACAAGGCUGCCAAGUGACAACUGAGUUGCAUGUUUGUCUCUGAUCUAAGCUUGAACAGCAGUAACAGGAAAAUUCAUAAUUCAUAAUUACAAUAUUUGAAAAUACAACAAUGAUUAAUAUGAUUAAUCUAUGGAAACAAUGAUUUUGAGGUCCCACCUUAAAAGGGACACAACAACAACUUCAACUUAGCCCCCACAUCUUUCAAAUAAAUACAAGUUGUUAGAUUAAAAAAAUGAGCAGGAAAAUGAAAGGGAAAGUUCCUUUGAAUAGCUUUAUACAUAUGGGCCUUACUGAAGGAAAAAAAUUGCAAUGGACCCCCAUAUAUAUAUAUAUAGAGAGAGAGAGAGAGAGAGAGAGAGAGAGAGAGAAAGAGAGAGUGAGGCUAGUAUGCUUCUGGAAGCACAGAGUGCUCCGUGCUUUCAAGUCGUUUUCGACGUUAGGACUUUCGAAUCGAUGAUCGGCUUCGUUAGAGUGCCUAGUGAUUGAAGGGGCUCAAAAUCAACGGCUGAAAAUAAAAAUCUUACAAAAUUUAUUUUCUCGGUACUUUAAAUACUCUAGAUCACUCUAUAUAUGUAAUAUACUGAAUCUUAGCAAAUUAGCAAGGUUACAGUAUAAGUUAUGCUUGAUUGAGUUGGAGACGUUUUGCGCAAAAUAGACGUAAAAGCGGACUUUGAAACUUAAGAUUUAUAUUGUAGAGGACUAAAGUUGAAUGCUAGAGUAGGUGAGGGGCUUUUGGACAAUUGUUUCCUUUCAACCUUAUCCCCACCGCCUUAAUUAGGAUAGGGAGGCUGUAAGGGAUUUAAUUAACUUUCUUCUCUCUUUCACUCUAAUUUAGCUCGUGGGCACGAUGGAGAGCUCGAGCUCGGGAGAUUUUCGUUGUCGUUUCGGAGAGCCGUUCGAGCGUGCGUUCGUCGUGGUAGCGCCGUUGGAGAAAAUUGACUUUUCUACGCCGCCAUUUGAACAAACUAUCAGAUUUAGCUUUAGGAGCCGUAGUUUGAUUGUAUUAUCGCAGUUUGUGGGCGGUGGAUACCCAGAAUAGUGUAGAAUAUAUUUACACUCGUGCUGAAGUGCCGAGUGUAUUUUUACAGCAGUGUUUAGGCUGUUCAGAAUUGUCGGGUGCUGUUGAGGUUGACGGUGGACCCAGAUUGCUAUUUUUGCAUCAGCUUGUGCCGAGGGCACGUGAGUUCAAUUGUUAGACCCUGUUUACUUGACUAUAGCCCGUGAGAGCCUGAUUGAGCUCGACAGAGAUACGCUUGCAUACUAGGUUGGAUAGCGCCCACGAGUGCCACUCCGGAGUCGGGCUUUGUGCGUUUGCGUUGGUGUCGUUGUGUCCUGGUUGGACUUGCUCUCCACGGACUGCUUAGUGUGGAGGUAGCUGUUUAGCUUCAACAGGCUGGGACGGGUGUUUUCACAGUCCCUGGGACCGGUGUGUUCAUAGUCCCUAGUGAGAUUGGGUCAAAUUGUACUUUUCUACAGAUAGUGGGUGAUAGACCGGGAUAGUAUAGGUGCAUAUAGCUGUAGAUUUAUUCCAGCUUUCUUACUAUACUUGUUUACAUCUAUAGACUUAAUGGGUGAGCUGUUGGGGUCUGUAGCGGUACCCACUGAGGACUACUUUUUACAGUAGUUCUCACGCCCAGUUAUUGGAAUCUUUUGCAGAGCCUUCUUCUUCGGCUGCUGCUGCUGCUGAUUCGGACCGUGGAAAGGGAGUCGCGAGUUAGAUCCCUUCCCAGUUGCUGCUAAGCUAGAAUAUACUAACUACAGGUAGUGAUAGUUUUUGAGUUCAUAUACAUAAUUAUGUUCUAUCUCGCUGGAGCGAGCGUUUUGUACACCUGGAUUUGAUGUAUGUAUAGUGAACUUCUGUUUUUAUAUUUGUUCUCUUUUAGCAGCUCUAUACUACUGGUUGUAGUAUUGUAUGAUUACAGGUACAGCUAUCGCUUCGUAUACAGGAAAAAUUCCUUUGUAUAUGACGGAUUUGUCGGCGUGCCCGAAAAAACGAGGAAUCCGGGGCGUGACAAUAUAUAUAUAUAUAUAUAUAUAUAGAGAGAGAGAGAGAGAGAGAGAGAGAGAGAGAGAGAGAAAGAGAGAGUUUUGCUAGAAUACUAUUGGUAGUAAACGGCUCGGUUUACUACCGAUUUGUUUUCGAUGAUAGAGCUUCCCAAUUGAUGAUCGGCACCGUUAAACAUGAUCUAAACUAUUUAAACUAUCUGAAAAUCAAAUUUCACACAUUUUCGAUAUUGUUCUCUUGUCCAUCAAAUGAACAGAAAAAUGAAUGGCUGGAAAUGAAUAUCCUUCAAAAAGUUAUGAUACAAUUUUUAUAUUUGAGAUCUAGAGUCUAGAUCUUAUUUUAAAUAGUUUAAAAAAAUUUUUAACAAAAAUUUAGUCUAUACCGUUAAACGAGCAAACGCACCAUAUCGGCCAUUAAAAUUAUAGAUUUUGUGACCCUUUGAUCGUUCAGUUAGUGAUGCCAAAAAAAUCAUAAAAUUUGAUUUCUAGAUAAUUUAAAUGGUCUAGAUCAUGUUCAACGGUGCCGAUCGUCGAUUUGGAAGCUCUAUCAUAAAAAACAAAUCGAUAGUAACGAGCAGUUUACUACUGAUAGUAGCCCGGUCAAAACACUCUCUCUCUCUCUCUCCUCUCUCUCUCCUCCCUCUCUCUCUCUCUCUUCUCUCUCCCCUCUCGCUCUCUCUCUCUCUCCGUCUCUCUCUCUUAUAUAAUAUAUAUAUAUAUAUAUAUAUAUAUAUAUUAUGAUAGCUGGAAUAACUAUUAAUAGUAAAACGCUCUUUUUGCUAUCAAUUUUUCCUUGGAGAAAAAUUGUAAGGUCAGGAUGAUAUUAGUCGUUAGAGUUGAGGGUCCCCACUGGUUAUAGUAUUUAAUCCAAUGGUUAGAAAUAAUGAAAAGAGUUUAUCCAAAGGCUAAAAAACUGGUAGCAACAAUAGGAUUUUGCUACUAAUAGUAGCCCAGUCCAACUAAUAUAUAUAUAUAUAUAUAUAUAAUAUAUAUAUAGUGAGGCUAGUAUGCUUUUGGAAGCACGAAGCGCUCUGUGCUUUCAAGUUGUUUUCGAUGUUAGGACUUUCGAAUCGAUGAUCGGCUCCGUUAGAGUUGAUCUAGAGUAUUUAAAGUACCGAGAAAAUAAAUUUUGUGAUUUUUCAAUAUCAUAUGCCUAGUGAUCGAAGGUGCUCAAAUCAAUAAUUUUAAUGGCCGUAGUGAGCCGUUUGCAAGUUUAACGGUGUAUAAAUAUCCAAAUCACAUGAAAUUUUGAUAGAAAAUUUUUUAUACCAUAUAAAACAAGAUUAAUAACUUUGAUCUAAAAUUUUAAUGUCAUAUCAUCAAUAUUUGUAAGAUUUUUAUUUUCAGCCGUUGAUUUUGAGCCACUUCGAUUACUAGGCAAAUGAUACCGAAAAAUCGUAAAAUUUAUUUUCUAGAUAUUUCAAAUACUCUAGAUCAAGUCUAAUGGAGCCGAUCGUCGAUUCGAAAGUCCGAACAUUGAAAACAACUUGGAAGCACGGAAGCAUGCCAGACGCACUAUAUAUAUAUAUAUAUAUAUAUAUAUAUAUAUAUAGCAGGGCUGCUGCUCUGAGCCGUUUUUGAUGAUGGAGUUUUCGAAUCGACGAUCGGCUCGUUAAACUUGAUCUAGCGUAUUUAAAGUUUCUAGAAAAUAAUUUUUGCGAUUUUUCGAUAUCAUUUACCUAGCAAUCGAAAUGAUUCAAAAUCAAUAAUUUUUAACGACUGAAAAUAAAAAUUCUAUAAAAAGUAGUGUAUAGCACUAAAAUUUCGAUCAGAAAUAGAUCUUGUUGUAGAUAGUAUAAAGAAUUUUCUAUCAAAAUUUCAUCUGAUUUGAAUACUUCUACACCGUUAAACUUGAAAACGGCAGAUAUAAACCAUUAAAAAUUAUGGAUGUUGAAUCCUUUCGAUCACUAGGUAAAUAAUAUCGAAAAAUCACAAAAAUUAUUUUCUAGAAACUUCAAAUGCGCUAGAUCAAGUCUAACGGAGCCGAUCGUUGAUUCGAAAAUUCCAUCAUCGAAAACAGCUCAGGAGCACGGAGGCCUCCGUCUCCUGAGAGCACAGCAGCCUGCUCUCUCUCUCUCUCUCUUCCCUUCUCUCUCUCUCUCUCUCUCUCUCCUCUCUAUAUAUAUAUAUAAUUAUAUAUAUAUAUAUAUAUAUAUAUAGAGCUAGUCUCAUAUACUAUCUAUAUACCAAGGCUACCCGGUAUUAUAGUCUUGGUUUUGAUCUUAGGGUAUUCAAAUCAACGAUCCACACAGUUAAAACUGAUCUUGGGUAUUUAAAGUUUUUAGAAAUAAAAUUUUAUAAUUUUUCAACAUAAUUUACUUUAUGAUUAAAUCAUUUCGAAAUUGUCAGUUUUCAGUGACUACUAUAGCGAGUUUGGAGUUUAACUAUGUAGAAGAAUCUAAAUUUCUUCAAAUUUUGAUAGAAAAUACUUUAAACUAUCUAGAUUAAGGUUAACAUUCUUGAUCUUAAAUUUAAAAGUCCUAUGCUCAAAUUUUAAAGGUUAUUCAAUUUCCACCGUUCAUUUUAACAUACUUUAUUUACCAAGUAAACGAUAUCGAAAAAACUAAAAUUUUAUUCAUAAAAACUUCAUAUACCCUAAAUUUUAUAUAUAUAUAUAUAUA